CCCCUGGAUUAAAAAUAGUGGGGGGCGGGGGCGAAGACGCGGAGAUCAGGGGAGGCGCUGAGGGGUGCUCGGGCUCAGAGGACCAAGUGCCCCUAACCGUGGAGCAGGAGGGUGGGGGCGGCACAGGUGCUUUUUGCGGGGUUCUGAAUGGCAGAGGCCUUUUUCUCAAUUUCACGUGAAUCUUGUGAUCUUUGUCUUGCUAGCGGAACGGGCGUUUUUGAGGAAUCGUUAUUUGUACAUUAAAAAAAAAAAAAAGUAAAUCCAACACCGCACAGCCCAGAAACGUUUGCAUUUCAGUAGAAAUGAUGGACUUCCUCGGGUUAAAAGUUCUCAUGUGAGGCAGUGAUGUUUGGUGCUAACCAGAAGGAGAAAGCCAAGAAAGUCAAAGGAGAGCUGACCCAGAAUCCUGAAAUUGCUGAGCUACUGAGUUAACCGGAUCUGGAACUCACCUCCUUCUGGAUUUCGUGUUCUGUGAGACAGUAAAUCUUUAUUGCUUAAGCCACUUUUACCAAUGUCUUGUUGCUUGAGGCCAAACUGAGUAGUUCACACAGUAUGCAUUCCUUGUGUACACUCCCUGUUUUAAGUAAAUCCCAGUGUUUCAGUGGCCGGUGCCUGGAUGGUUUGCCACCUCGCAGAAGAGAACUAACCGAUGGAGUUGACUUCUACACACGUCUGUUUGAGAUGUUAUCUGCUGACAUUUGUAGGCUGAGAAAUUUUUGUUGCUAUACAUGUAACAACUAAGAAUUGGACAAUCUAUAAAAACAUAAAAACCUCUAGUCUCUGUGUGCUUGAACGUACGCAUGCCGAAUGCUUGUAAGAAGUGGUGGUUAAAACUCCAUGGUUUUGUUCCAUUGUUAUUUGUGACUAUAAAUGUAAGCCCUGUUCAUUGUACAAACAUUUGAAGCACAAAAAAGGAUAGUGAAGAAAAUAAUAUCCUAAUAAUCCCACCGUCCAGAUAUAACCCACUAAUAUUUUAUUUAUUUAUUCUGAGAGAGGGAGAGAGAAUCUCAAGCAGGCUCCACAUUCAGCACAGAGCCUGACGCCGGACUCAAUCCCAUGACUGCGAGAUCACAAUCCAAGCUGGUAUCAAGAGUUGGAUGCUCAAUGGACUGAGCCACCCAGGCGCCCCGUUAAUAUUUUAAAUGUAUAUCUUUACAGACUUUUUCUAUAUAUAGUAUAUAUUUUAAUGUAAUAUGCAGUGUGUACUUUAAUAAAAACAAGAUCAUAUUAAACCUAACUCUUUUGUAACCCCCUAAAAAAAAAAAAAAAAACCCUCAGUAAUAAUAUGCAUGUAUUCAGAGUCCUAAAUGUCUCGUGUUUUCCAGGAAGCAGCUGUGAGUUGAUAACAUUCUGUUUCGUCUUCAUGUACACAACGCAUAGGUGUAAAAAUCAUUGGCAAAAAUAGGUGACAGAUGGCAAAAUAGUUUCAUAUAAAAUAUUUUAUUCUUCUGUGCCUCUGCUGUACCCGUCUGAACUUCUACCCUAGUAUCUAUAACAAAUAUUGAACCUAUUUGCUGAACUAGCUUCUUCACCAACUAACUCUUAAAUUCCUGGAUGGGAUGGGGAAAGCAAUGACCAAAUAAACUAAAUUCUUUCUACAUACACAUAUCUAAAUCUACCAGAAUGUGUAAUACAUGCAAAGGUUUAUGGAAUGAAUAAAAAAAAUGCUCGUAUAGUUUUUUUUGGGGUUAUAAUAAAUGUGCUAUAGGCAAAUUUAUACUAUUGGUUGCAUUGAAAUCUCAUUUCAAACCAAUUAAGUUCACGCAAUGAUUAAGAUCACAAAAGAAACAAACAUUGCUUUACUAUCAAUAUCAUCAUAAAUCUUUUAAUGAUUCUAGACUUGAAAUUUCUGCCUGAAGUUCCGUUAUGGACUUGAAUUUUAACCAUUGACAUUUUACCUAACAAUAAACAGCUGAAAGAUAAGCAGAA